rnacentral:rRNA from 1 species
UUAAGCGACUAAGCGUACACGGUGGAUGCCCUGGCAGUCAGAGGCGAUGAAGGACAUGCUAAUCUGCGAUAAGCGUCGGUAAGGUGAUAUGAACCGUUAUAACCGGCGAUUUCCGAAUGGGGAAACCCAGUGUGAUUCGUCACACUAUCAUUAACUGAAUCCAUAGGUUAAUGAGGCGAACCGGGGGAACUGAAACAUCUAAGUACCCCGAGGAAAAGAAAUCAACCGAGAUUCCCCCAGUAGCGGCGAGCGAACGGGGAGGCAGCCCAGAGCCUGAAUCAGUGUGUGUGUUAGUGGAAGCGUCUGGAAAGGCGCGCGAUACAGGGUGACAGCCCCGUACACAAAAAUAGCACAUGCUGUGAGCUCGAUGAGUAGGGCGGGACACGUGGUAUCCUGUCUGAAUAUGGGGGGACCAUCCUCCAAGGCUAAAUACUCCUGACUGACCGAUAGUGAACCAGUACCGUGAGGGAAAGGCGAAAAGAACCCCGGCGAGGGGAGUGAAAAAGAACCUGAAACCGUGUACGUACAAGCAGUGGGAGCACAGAGCAAUCUGUGUGACUGCGUACCUUUUGUAUAAUGGGUCAGCGACUUAUAUUCUGUAGCAAGGUUAACCGAAUAGGGGAGCCGAAGGGAAACCGAGUCUUAACUGGGCGUUAAGUUGCAGGGUAUAGACCCGAAACCCGGUGAUCUAGCCAUGGGCAGGUUGAAGGUUGGGUAACACUAACUGGAGGACCGAACCGACUAAUGUUGAAAAAUUAGCGGAUGACUUGUGGCUGGGGGUGAAAGGCCAAUCAAACCGGGAGAUAGCUGGUUCUCCCCGAAAGCUAUUUAGGUAGCGCCUCGUGAAUUCAUCUCCGGGGGUAGAGCACUGUUUCGGCAAGGGGGUCAUCCCGACUUACCAACCCGAUGCAAACUGCGAAUACCGGAGAAUGUUAUCACGGGAGACACACGGCGGGUGCUAACGUCCGUCGUGAAGAGGGAAACAACCCAGACCGCCAGCUAAGGUCCCAAAGUCAUGGUUAAGUGGGAAACGAUGUGGGAAGGCCCAGACAGCCAGGAUGUUGGCUUAGAAGCAGCCAUCAUUUAAAGAAAGCGUAAUAGCUCACUGGUCGAGUCGGCCUGCGCGGAAGAUGUAACGGGGCUAAACCAUGCACCGAAGCUGCGGCAGCGACGCUGAUGCGUUGUUGGGUAGGGGAGCGUUCUGUAAGCCUGCGAAGGUGUGCUGUGAGGCAUGCUGGAGGUAUCAGAAGUGCGAAUGCUGACAUAAGUAACGAUAAAGCGGGUGAAAAGCCCGCUCGCCGGAAGACCAAGGGUUCCUGUCCAACGUUAAUCGGGGCAGGGUGAGUCGACCCCUAAGGCGAGGCCGAAAGGCGUAGUCGAUGGGAAACAGGUUAAUAUUCCUGUACUUGGUGUUACUGCGAAGGGGGGACGGAGAAGGCUAUGUUGGCCGGGCGACGGUUGUCCCGGUUUAAGCGUGUAGGCUGGUUUUUCCAGGCAAAUCCGGAAAAUCAAGGCUGAGGCGUGAUGACGAGGCACUACGGUGCUGAAGCAACAAAUGCCCUGCUUCCAGGAAAAGCCUCUAAGCAUCAGGUAACAUCAAAUCGUACCCCAAACCGACACAGGUGGUCAGGUAGAGAAUACCAAGGCGCUUGAGAGAACUCGGGUGAAGGAACUAGGCAAAAUGGUGCCGUAACUUCGGGAGAAGGCACGCUGAUAUGUAGGUGAAGUCCCUCGCGGAUGGAGCUGAAAUCAGUCGAAGAUACCAGCUGGCUGCAACUGUUUAUUAAAAACACAGCACUGUGCAAACACGAAAGUGGACGUAUACGGUGUGACGCCUGCCCGGUGCCGGAAGGUUAAUUGAUGGGGUCAGCGCAAGCGAAGCUCUUGAUCGAAGCCCCGGUAAACGGCGGCCGUAACUAUAACGGUCCUAAGGUAGCGAAAUUCCUUGUCGGGUAAGUUCCGACCUGCACGAAUGGCGUAAUGAUGGCCAGGCUGUCUCCACCCGAGACUCAGUGAAAUUGAACUCGCUGUGAAGAUGCAGUGUACCCGCGGCAAGACGGAAAGACCCCGUGAACCUUUACUAUAGCUUGACACUGAACAUUGAGCCUUGAUGUGUAGGAUAGGUGGGAGGCUUUGAAGUGUGGACGCCAGUCUGCAUGGAGCCGGCCUUGAAAUACCACCCUUUAAUGUUUGAUGUUCUAACGUUGACCCGUAAUCCGGGUUGCGGACAGUGUCUGGUGGGUAGUUUGACUGGGGCGGUCUCCUCCUAAAGAGUAACGGAGGAGCACGAAGGUUGGCUAAUCCUGGUCGGACAUCAGGAGGUUAGUGCAAUGGCAUAAGCCAGCUUGACUGCGAGCGUGACGGCGCGAGCAGGUGCGAAAGCAGGUCAUAGUGAUCCGGUGGUUCUGAAUGGAAGGGCCAUCGCUCAACGGAUAAAAGGUACUCCGGGGAUAACAGGCUGAUACCGCCCAAGAGUUCAUAUCGACGGCGGUGUUUGGCACCUCGAUGUCGGCUCAUCACAUCCUGGGGCUGAAGUAGGUCCCAAGGGUAUGGCUGUUCGCCAUUUAAAGUGGUACGCGAGCUGGGUUUAGAACGUCGUGAGACAGUUCGGUCCCUAUCUGCCGUGGGCGCUGGAGAACUGAGGGGGGCUGCUCCUAGUACGAGAGGACCGGAGUGGACGCAUCACUGGUGUUCGGGUUGUCAUGCCAAUGGCACUGCCCGGUAGCUAAAUGCGGAAGAGAUAAGUGCUGAAAGCAUCUAAGCACGAAACUUGCCCCGAGAUGAGUUCUCCCUGACUCCUUGAGAGUCCUGAAGGAACGUUGAAGACGACGACGUUGAUAGGCCGGGUGUGUAAGCGCAGCGAUGCGUUGAGCUAACCGGUACUAAUGAACCGUGAGGCUUAACCUU